rnacentral:rRNA from 1 species
AAUCAACGCUGGCGGCGUGCCUCAGACAUGCAAGUCGAACGCGAAAGUUCCCUUCGGGGAGCAAGUAGAGUGGCGCACGGGUGAGUAACACGUAGGUAAUUUGCCUUCGGGUGGGGAAUAACAGUCGGAAACGACUGCUAAUACCGCAUAAUGCAGCGGCUCGACAUCGAGACAGUUGUUAAAGCGGGGGAUCCUUCGGGACCUCGCGCCUGAAGAGAAGCCUGCGGCAGAUUAGCUAGUUGGUGAGGUAAUGGCCCACCAAGGCUACGAUCUGUAACCGGCCUGGAGAGGGCGGUCGGUCACACUGACACUGACA